rnacentral:rRNA from 1 species
UACGUAGGGUGCAAGCGUUGUCCGGAAUUAUUGGGCGUAAAGAGCUCGUAGGUGGCGGGUCACGUCGGGUGUGAAAGCCCGGGGCUUAACCCCGGGUCUGCAUUCGAUACGGGCUUGCUAGGGUCCGGCAGGGGAGACUGGAAGUUCCUGGUGUAGCGGUGAAAUGCGCAGAUAUCAGGAGGAACACCGGUGGCGAAGGCGGUUCUCUGGGCAUUACCUGACGGCUGAGGAGCGAAAGUGUGGGAGCGAACAGG